GGAGGGUUCGCAUAGUGGUCUAGUGCACCACGUUGGAAACGUGGCGUGGGGAAACCCACCGAGAGUUCGAAUCUCUCACCCUCCGCCU
rnacentral:tRNA from 1 species